rnacentral:rRNA from 1 species
AUGCCGGACUCCGGCGUCCAAAACCCCACCGUCCUGGCACCGUUCCCGAUGAUGUUGACGACCUCGUAUGCUGCCACCUGCAGCUGCCCGUUCACAAGCUUGAACCUGCCGGCCAUCCCGUCGAACGUGGUGUUACGCACCGCUCUGAGAAGCGCUGCUCCGGUGGCCGACACACCGAGCCGGUCCAGGUCUGUGAGUGCCCUGCUACGCUGCGGUGUCUGA